rnacentral:lncRNA from 1 species
UUUUUAAGAUUUCAUGCAAUCUACUAGUUGGAUUUGAAUGAAAUUCAUUAGGGUUUUAACUAGAAUUAAAUUAAGGUUGAAUUGACAUAUAUUUGAGUAAUAUUUGUGAUCAUUCUAAUAUUUCUUUAAGAAUUUUAUUAUUUGUUUGAAAUUUCUUUGAGUUGUUUUGAAUUUGAUUACGUUUGUUUACCAUUAUUAUAAUCUAAUUAGAGCAUUUUUAGUAUUCUAUUAGAAUUAGGAUUUUGUUAUCGCAAUUUCUAUUCUUCCUUCUAUAGCC